CACAAGCAGAUGCAACUAGAUGUUGUUCAUAAAAGAAAAGCAGUUUUGGAAGAAAAUAAACUUAAAAUGGAAAAGCGAGAACAAGAUGUACUGCGCAGAAAACAUGAGGCAGUUAGUGCUGUUAAAAAACACGAUGGACCGUGUCUGACAUCUCAUGAUGUAGAUGCACUGAUGGAUACAAUCCCAGUUAGAGGACGGAGAAAAUACAUGAUUGAAACCAUCAAGGCAGAGAUUCGUUAUCAGCAGGUGGUCAUGGUAAUAAAGAGUCGACAGCUGAAACGUACGGGGAAAUUGGAGGAGCCAUUUUGAAACAGUUCCUAGAUGACACACAAAUUUUUUCAGACAUUUCGGAUGAAGAGCAUCCGCGUGAAAACCUUGUCCAACAGAAUAGUCUAAGUAACCAAGACAAUCCACAAGAAACCAGUGACUGUGAAGAUGAAGCAAUCUCGAAUUAUGACCAUGAUGAGGAUGAUGAACCUCUAGCUGCACUUUCUAAUAACAUGGAGUCUACUGCUGAACCGAAUGAUGCUGAAGAAAUGGGGCGAUUUCAGUUUUCCAACCAGGGAAUGAGAGUUGCUGUCUAUUAUGAUGAUGACUUUCAUGUUGGAGAAGUUACCAGAGUUAAUUCGGAAUCCAUUGCUCUUGUUCAGUUUAUGCAAAAGUGUGGUGUGAAAAAAGGUGUUUAGAGAUGGCCAACAGUAGAUGAUGAGGAAAAGAAAGAAAGAAG